rnacentral:ncRNA from 1 species
AGAAAUGUGAUGACUAGGAAAAGUAAGUCAUAAUAGCCUUACAGAGAGCUGGGGGAUGGUGGAACCCGGUAGGCAGACUGACUGAAAUACACCUAUGAGCAGCAGGCUGAAAGUAUAUUAUUAGUAAGCCGGGCCGGAGCGCCACCGUUAUUUGGCUAGGAAGAAGUUUUUUAACUUCGCUUGAGUGGCUAAUUGUCAGCAACAAGGGUGGUACCACGGGUUUAUUCCCGUCCCUGAC